CAAUAGGGAAUCUUCGGCAAUGGGGGCAACUCUGACCGAGCAACGCCGCGUGAGUGAAGAAGGUUUUCGGAUCGUAAAGCUCUGUUGUAAGAGAAGAACGUGUGUGAGAGUGGAAAGUUCACACAGUGACGGUAACUUACCAGAAAGGGACGGCUAACUACGUGCCAG
rnacentral:rRNA from 1 species